rnacentral:hammerhead_ribozyme from 1 species
AUCCAGCUGACGAGUCCCAAAUAGGGUGAAGUGCGCGUCCUGGAU